GAUUAUGGCUCAGGAUGAACGUUGGCGGCGUGCCUUAUGCAUGCAAGUCGAACGGUCUGACGGUUCGCAAGAGUUGUCAGAGAGUGGCGAACGGCUGAGUAAUACGUAAGCGACCUACCCUUAAGUGGGGAACAACCCUGAGAAAUCGGGGCUAAUACCGCAUGUGGUGACGGGGUCAAUGCCCCUUCACCAAAGCCGCAAGGCGCUUGAGGAUGGGCUUGCGUCCGAUUAGCUAGUUGGUGGGGUAAUGGCCUACCAAGGCGACGAUCGGUAGCUGGUCUGAGAGGAUGGCCAGCCAGACGGGGACUGCGACACGGCCCCGACUCCUACGGGAGGCAGCAGCAAGGAAUCUUGCGCAAUGGGCGAAAGCCUGACGCAGCGACGCCGCGUGGGGGAUGAAGGCCUUCGGGUUGUAAACCCCUUUUCUCGGGGAAGAAUAAUGACGGUACCCGAGGAAUAAGUCACGGCUAACUACGUGCCAGCAGCCGCGGUAAUACGUAGGUGGCUAACGUUAUCCGGAUUUACUGGGCGUAAAGAAGGCGCGGGCGGUACCCUAAGUCGGGUGUGAAAUCUCCUGACUCAAUCAGGAUAGGUCAUCCGAUACUGGGGUACUUGAGAGCAGCAGAGGAAGAUGGAAUUCCCGGUGUAGUGGUGAUAUGCGUAGAUAUCGGGAGGAACACCAGUGGCGAAGGCGGUCUUCUAGGCUGUUUCUGACGCUGAGGCCUGAAAGCGUGGGGAGCAAACCGGAUUAGAUACCCGGGUAGUCCACGCCCUAAACGGUGAGCACUAGGUAUGGGGGGUAUCGACCCUCUCUGUGCCGCAGCUAACGCUUUAAGUGCUCCGCCUGGGGACUACGGUCGCAAGACUAAAACUCAAA
rnacentral:rRNA from 1 species